GACUUGUCAGAACAAAGAACAAACAUCAAACCUGACAGGGGUACAUUCCUCCAAGGUUUCAAAAGAGGCAGAUUAGCAUGUACACAGUGAGUCCGCAUGACCCUGGUGUCUGAGAAGGAAACCUCGUCUUUGAAGGAGGACUAGCAUUGGUGCCAUAGGAGGAGGGGGACAUUUAUCAUUAUCUUCAAAGUGGACAUUCUAAACAAUCUGGUAAAUGCAUUCUCUCUUUAAUGAUUAAAGCAGAUGUAUAAUGUAUGUUAGACAAGUCGUAAGACAGGCUGUUCUAGUUAGCAUAAUGUUCAAGCCAAAUCUUAUAUGAGCCAGAAUGAUUUCCCCACACCGCACUAUGUGAAAAUUUCUUCCAUCACAAAGAUGUGUGAGUGUAAUUUAGAUCUGAAGUCUAAGGGUUUUACUACAUGGCUAAUAUCUAUAUAUUUUUUCAAAUGAAAACAUUUAGUUCACCUUUCAUUUAAUAAAAAUCUGCCCCUUUGCCUCUCCUUCACACCUAAGAUUAUCUAUCUAUCCCUAUCUUCUCUCUCUCUCUCUGUAUCAUUUCUGGAAGCCAUAAGUAGGAUUUAAUGACCUCAUGACAGUUUCUGUGAAAAAUAUAUUGUGUGCAGAAAUAUUAAUGUAGAAGUAUAUAUUCACAAUGCACAGAUUUGACAAAUAAAUAUAUAGUCUAGAUGUGAUUGGUUUUGAGAGACAUCGUUUUUCUCUGAAAACUUUUGUAGGCUAGUGACAGAAUCUAACCUUUCUUUGAACUGCAACCUAUUUAAUCCACUUUAAAAAAAUUAUGUAAUAGCAUAGAAAAAAAAUGAAAUUUUGUGACUGAAAUUCUUUAAACAUCAAAUACAUUUAAAUGAUUUUGUUAAUUUCAUGUGUAUAAUAAGUAAUGCUUUUAUGAGAUGGAGGAAUUUGUGCUGUUUUACUCCUGGUCUUUCUUCAGAUUGACAUUGGGGUUGCAUGCAUAAAGCACCCACUUUGUCACCUGUGCAAAGGAGCUCUUCAGUGAAUUCUCUCUCUUCCCCUCCCCUCUCUCCCUUUACCUCUCCUCUCUGCCCCUUCAGAGCUCUCUGUGAGCUCGAGUGCCACCUCCACCUCGGAGCAAGUGCAAGCCCAGUGCCCACUGUGGCCUCUUGCCACUGUUGUUUUCUACAAUUGAUUAGGACAUUCUACUAUGGUGGAUUCUCAAAAAUUAUUGCUGAUUAACUGAACAAUAUCAUAUCAUAUGAUGUCAUGAUCCUGCCCUCCCCUACCUUUUUUUGAGACUGAAGAGGUCUUUUAAACAUUAGGCCAUGGUGUCACGAAUUAUAUCACUGAACUGUUGAUAUGAGUUAGUUGUUGGAGUCACUGAAGUCCCUGGACUGAGACUGACCAUGUGCAGACAGGGAGCCUAGAGGAGCAGUUUAGGUACCUGGUAGGAUAAGAGGAGAAGAAAGAAGAAAAAUGGUAGCAGAGGAAGAGGGUAAGAAGAGAAUAGGAGGAACCUGGGGCAAGGCAUGCCCUUCAUGACCACAUUCAUGGGGCAGAGGUCCCCCUUCCCAGCUGUGCCUGCACACACCACACACACACACACACGCACACACACACACACACCCUGCUCAUGGACCCCUGCCAGCAUUAGUGCUGGUACUUACUUGCUACGCCAUGAUCAGGUCCAAAGAUUAUUGAGUUUGGAACUUUCUGUCUUGAAGGUUUUAAGGAACUUUCUUCCAGAUGAGAGGCUGACUGGUACCUCUCUCUACCCCAUAUUUCAUAACCAUGUCACCUAGGAGUUGUCUUAUUAGAAUCUAUGUAUGUUUUUUACAGCUCUUCUGCCAUCUGGCUGUGUGGUCUGGAAGUCACUUUUCUUUUCUGGGCCCGGUUUCCUCAGUGGUGAAAGGAGUUUGCCCUUUGAUCUUGAAGGAACUUCUGGUUCCAACACUCUGUGUUUCUCUGAGGUCCCAUUUCAAGCAUGGUGUAAGAAUGUAAGGCAGGAUCAAAAUGUCCCAGCUGGUCCCUUUCCCUUCAGUUUACCUGUCUUGAACACGUUAAUUAAUGCAAUGAACUGAUUUUUCCUAAGAACAUUGUGUGUGUGUAUGCAUACAUAUACAUGUAAACAUAUAAAUACAUACACAUAUAUAUGUACAUGCAAAUGUGUAGAUAUAUAUUCUACAAUAGUUUGAAAUUUUAGUAAUGGUGUUAAGUGGCUUAGAGGAAGAAUUUUGAUGUUGUCUAAAUAAAAAGAGACAAUAAAAGGAGAAAAAAGUCUGUUUUUUGACCUCUAAAAUUUUUGGACUGUCAGUUACAUUCUUAUUAUUGAGAUGGGUCUAGUGUAUGUAUAGAUGUGUGUUUGUUUUUAGUUUUAGCCUGUUAGGAAAACUGGAGAAAAAUGGUGCUCAUUACUCACUAGGAAACAUCUGUCCAUUUUUGUACUACAGUAUACAUAUUUUUAGAGGCAAUAUUUUAUAUUACACUUAGACUUCACCAAACGAACCCAAGACACUGGGAGAUGGAGUCUGAUGCCUUGUAUGAAAUGGGCUGGGUGGCUGACUGUCAAAGGAAAACACAAGUUUGGUACAUAGCAGGAUUUACGUUAUCUUAUUAAAAAUGUGUUUGCCAAGAAUGUAGAUCGGAAGGGAAAUUCUUGGAAUUGUUACUUUUUUUUUUUUUUUACCUUUGGAAGGAAUGAAUAGAUAUGUGGUAUUAAUACAGCUUGGGUGUCCUUCCUUCCCAUUGCAGAGCUGCUGUCAGGAGAAGACAGCAGCGACUAAGAAAAACAGGCCAGGCCGGCCAGCAGCAGAAGGGCCCUUCCUCACAGGGAGCAGAGCCAUUUAGCUCCCUCUGAGCUCCCUCCUGCCCAUGAGCAGCCAGAGAGGGGAGGGACACAGGUGACAACUCUGGGCCUAAUGGCCCUCUCUCUGUUUUUAUUUCUCAGCUGGGGGUUGAAUGUUCUCAUUUUAUGGUCACUUGUCCUUUUCAGCUCUGAGGAAAGAGAGGUUUCUCCCUCCCCCAACUCUAUUAUAUAUAUUUCUUGUUUUUUUGUUCCAUAAAGAAAAGUAAAGCAAAACACUAAGAUUAUUUCUCUAAGGAGUUUCUUACAUUCAGAAAACCAUGCACGGAUGGAGCUGAGUGCUGUAUGAAGGGGUGCAGACCACUCCACUCCUGCCCAGAGUUUGGAGAGGCUGCCUAGGAUGCCUGCAGCCUGGGCGUGAGGGAGGUACGAAGACGGCUCAGGUUUGUAUUCCAGUAAUGCAAUUAGAAGCUGUGUGACUCAUGAAUGUUCAUAGCAGCAUUAUUCAUAAUAGCCCAAACUGGGAACAGCCUAAAUGUCCAUCAACUAAUGAAGAGAUAGACAGAAUUGGUAGAUGCUCUAUUGAAUACUACUCAGCAAUAAAAAGGAAGAAACUACUGACACCUGCUUGCUACUUCAUGGCUGAACCACAAACACAUUGUGCUAAGUGAUGGAAGCCAAACACAAACAACUACAUAUUGCUUGAUUCCAUUUCUACAAAAUGCCCAGAAAAUGAUUUUGUGAGGAAGGAUGUAGAGGAUGCUGUGUGUGCUAUCAAGAUCCCAUUCAGGACUGAAGGGCUUAUUCCUCCAGCUGACCAAGGCUGGCGCCUUUCCUGGGAGAGCCUUCAACCGAUGACUCAUCAACUCAAGGCUCAACAUUUUCAGCCAACUUGCUACAAUUCAGAAGACCACCCAGCCUCAGAGCUUCCUGUGGGGUCAGCAGAGGCCUACAUUGAGAAUUCACCCAGCCCAGCUUCUCCCUCUGUCUAUUUUAUUCUUCCCUUCCCUUCCACAGAUGUUGACCCCAAGAGUAUUCCUUAAUAAACCUUGUUCAUGCUAACCUCGAAAUCCAAGUCUGCUUCCCAGAGAGCCCAAACUGUGACAGAGGAGAUGUGAAUACAUGUGUUUAGUCAGCCAGCUGGAAGGCUUUUUACAGUGCUUAUUUUGAGAUCAUGGGCCUUUUAAAAUAAGAUAAUUAAAUGUAUAAAUUCUUUCAACCCAGAAGGUGAGGUUCACUUUCCUCUCCAAUAUGAACUCUCUCCUCUUGGCUUUUGAUCAGAGACAUCAGACUCAGUUGGGUUCCCAGCUUCUCCUUCACCCCACAGCUGGUGCUAUAUGACCUUUUCUUGUGAGCUCAGCCUCCCACUUCCCGGGGCCAAAUGGCUCUCAGUGGAAAACUAUUAACAGUUUAUCUUAAGUCAGGUUUUCUUGAAGCAGAUUGUACAUGAGGGUCUGUGUGUAAGUGCUUUGUUAAGAAGGUGUCCCUGGAAGAAGGGAGAAGGAGAAGCAGGGCAGGGCAGGGAAGGAAGCCAAGCAAGGCUGGGAUCUCAGGUAGAGUCCUUUGGAGGUGAUGGAGGUGGCGUGAUGGUUAACUUUAUGUGGCAACUUCACUGGCCACAGUGGGCCCAGAUUAAGCAUUAUUUCUGGGUGUACUUGUGAGGUUGUUUCUGGAUGAGGUUAGCAUUUGAAUCGGUGGACUCAGUAAAGAAUUUCCCCUCCCCAAGAUCAUGCAACUUGGGCAUCACCCAAUCCACUGAGGGCCUGAAUGGAACAAAAGGCAGAAGGAGGAAUUCAUUCCUUUUUCCCUGCCUCACUGCUUGAGCUGGGACAUCUCAUCUCAUCUGUUCUGCCCUGAGACUGGGAUUUAUACCACCAUUUCCCCUGGUUCUCAGGCAGGCCUUCAGACUCAGACUGAAUUACACCACUGGAUUUCCUGGGUUUCCAACUUGUAGAUGGCAGAUUGUGGGGCUUCUUAGCCUUCAUAAUCAAAUGAUCCAAAUUAUCAUUUUCUAUCUAUCAUCUAGCUAGCUAGCUAGCUAUCCUAUUGGUUCUGUUUCUCUGGAGAAUUCUGACUAAUAUGGGUAGCUUUGCCUGAUCCACAAAAGAACUCUGGGAUAUACCUUAUACCUCAGAAUUUUCCUACCUGAGGCAGAAGAGUUGGGCUUUUGUACCCUUGCACCCACUAUUCAGAUUGAUUGACAAUGACUCCCUGUGGUGGAGCUGUGAGCUGAGGUAUAAAUGCCAGGCCCCCCUGGCUCUCUGCCCAUGCAGGGAAAGCCACUCCAGUACCAUGAGGGUUGUCAUCUGAAGAACACACAUGAGUGCUGGUCAUUGGGAGCCAAAGCACACAGAAUCUAGUGAAGGGACAUUCAAAAAUGGUGGGAAGGGUCUGAAGUGGUCUGGGUGGAUCAAUGACAUUGUUUUCUGCAUAGUUCUAUCACCAACAUCCUCGUCAGUCUGGCCUUGGUGCUAGGCUCCAAUUUUGAUAGUAUUCUGUCUCUGGCAUAGUAGAACUUGUAGAAUAUUUAAUUUUGUGUGGGACUGUAUUCCAGUGACUCUGUUUGGUUGAGUUAAUUGCAAAAUUCUCCAUUAAAUAAUGAAAUGAGUUAACCUU